UUCUCCUACGGGGCGCAGCAGUCGGGAAUAUUGCGCAAUGGAGGAAACUCUGACGCAGUGACGCCGCGUAUAGGAAGAAGGUUUUCGGAUUGUAAACUAUUGUCGUGAGGGAAGAAAUUGACAGUACCUCAGGAGGAAGCUCCGGUUAACUAUGUGCCAGCAGCCGCGGUAAUACAUAGGGAGUAAGCGUUAUCCGGAUUUAUUGGGUGUAAAGGGGGCGUAGAGGGGAAAU
rnacentral:rRNA from 1 species